GCGGGUUUAAGGGUCUUAAAAACUGACUCUUAAUCAGUGGGCCUACGGUUCGAGUCCGUAAAGGUGCACCA
rnacentral:tRNA from 3 species